GAGCGACUGACUCUGGUUGACUGGCGGGUGGCUUUUGUUAGUUUCAGGCAGAUUUCAAGACUUGUUUCUCAAAAUGUCCUGCAAUUUUGGCUUCCGCGGCAGUUUGUGAGAUGGGGCCACAAUUCUUGAUUGAUGAUAGGAAAGUAGAGAAGGAGAGAUGAUUCGUCUAUGAGUCAACAUUGUCGAUAGCUAGAGUCUUGGUAUUCCCAUAGCUUCCUUGGUUAUUUUGUUUCCAAAUUUGCACACCCAGGAACCAAAUCUCAAUGAUCCUUUUGUUGCUGAAGGUUCAUCCUCUCCUGUUCCAUCUGUCCGCCAUAAACACAUAAUUCUGACUGCCCCAUUCCUAAUCCAUUUCUUUCCUUUGGAAUGGGAAGAAGGAAAUGAAAAGUACUCCCAGAUGGAAACCGAAACGGCGUCAGAUCCAGAAUAGUCUUUGUUUGGAUUCAACAGCUGUCUGCCCACCACGCCCUCAGUCCCCAAGUCCAAAGCGCAUCCUCGGGGUUUCAUUUGAGAAAGGGAGAAAAAAGAAACACUUCAAAAUCUGUAUUUUUACAAGCAGGAUUUCACAAUCCUUGGGAACUUUGAGACUUGAAUGGUUAAUCUCUCAGACGAAAUUAUCACCCCAACGACUGUUCACAGAUUAGUCGAUGCAAAUGUUAAAAACGUGUUGGCAAGCUGGAUGAGCAGGCAAACGCACAUAAGGGUCCCCAGAUGCAGCGAAUGAACAGGUUUUCCUCGUAAAAAUGAUGGAGGUGAAGGUGGGGAUGGGGGUGCUCUCCUCACUCCGGAAUCUGAAGCGGGAGAGAGCUGGAUAAACCGCCGAGAUGACCUAAGUGGUCUGAGGCGACCAGCAGCGCGUCCACAGUGGAGGACCCAGGCCUCGGCUCAGACAUGGCCUGCUCCGCUCUUUCCCUAGGCUCCUCUGCAACAUCAGGCAACCAAGGCCUGCGCUCUCCUUUUCCUGAGGAGACUCCCUGGAACCUUCAAGAACCCCCCGACAGCCACCAGGAUACCCGGUCUGAAUGGUUUCCUACCAAGAAAGACCCCGAAGACCUGCAGUUCUGUCCAGAAACGAGUUUUUAGGGUCACUUGAAUUUGAGCUGCUGCGAGGGCGGUGCUUUAGGGAGCAGAGUUCAAAGAGGAAUUCCUCAGGACCCUAGGCCAGGUCCGCGUUAAAGGGCGCCUUACAAACCUCCUCUCCCCACACUCCCCCGCAGCCCCUUCCCCAACGUUUAAGGCACCGGAUCUUGAGAAGCAAAUCUAGUGCCCAGCUUCAAAUCCCCGCCUUGGAAAAGUACAAAGAGAAAACUGAUUUUUCAAAUCCCAAAGCCCUUUCCUUUUAAGCAACUUGGAAAAACUCAGCUAUAAACGCUUUCUCCUCUUAUGCUAAAAUUGAAAACUUAUAGAUUUUAGAUGGAAUGAAGAGAAGAUAUAUUCCUUUUCCCUUUAAAUAGCCACAUUUCAAAUUGUGCCAGGCAGCAAUUUCUGCGAAAAAGGAGUGGCGGUUGGGAUUGUUUGGGAGAUGGAGUUUUAUUUGUUCCCAUUUAUUUUGUUUUAUUUUUGUUUUAUUUUUUUCUUUGAGUUUCUUUGUUAUUUUGAGAUUCAUCUAAGAGACUCAGAAUUCCACUCUGAAUAAAGCACUUUUUGUUGUUUCAAAAUUUCAAACUGA